UGAUCACUGAACACCCUGAACAAGAGACUACAAGGCAAAGAGCAGCUGGUACCACAGCUGUAUGUGCACCUGAAAGCAUUCCGUGCGAAGCUCCGUCUCUUUGAGUCACAACUGCGCAACUUCAAUGUAGCGCACUUCCCCACACUGAAUGAAAUCAAAUGCGCAUUUCCAUAUGCCAACCUCUCUGCUAAAAUGGGAGAAUAUGUGUCUGUGAUCACAUCUCUCAUUACAGAAUUCAGUCUGCAAUUUCAAGAUUUUGCUGUCAUUUAGAAGAAAAUCACACUGUUUGCGGCACCGUUUUCAGUGAAUGCAGAAGUGGAGGAGAGUCUGCAAUUAGAACUGAUCGAAAUGCAGUGUGAUGAUUCUCUGAAGAAUCAACAUCAGCUUCUCUCCCUACCUGACUUCUACCAGAGCUUGGAAAAGGCCAAGUUUCCUCUGAUGAGACACCACGCAAAACGAAUGAUGAGUCUGUUCGGCUCAACAUACAUCUGUGAGCAGACAUUCUCUCUGUUAACGCUGAACAAAAGCAGAUUGAGAACCAGAAUGACCGACAGCCAUCUCCGUGACGUCCUUCGCAUCUCAACCACUAAACUUACUCCUGACCUGCCAGCUGUCCUUCAGACCAAAGCGCAGCAUCACUGCUCCCACUGAGCGCAACAUUCUUCCCAUUACAGGACACUAAAGAGGGAUCAGCACCCUAAGAAACAAUCUGAGGCUGUCACUGAGAGAAUGACCUGUCAACCUUUUUGUAAAAAAAUUAAAUGAAAAUCUACUAAUGGAGAGCUGUAAUGGAGGUUUUUUUUCUUGAAACAUGUUCAAUUAUCAAACGUAAUUGACCUGCAUUUGAUUGAUUUUGCCAAUAUUCAUGCAUUAGAAGUGAGACAGUAUACCUCACGUCUAGUGAGUGGCCCAGUCUUUUUUUUUUUUGUAUGCAACCCUCAGGAAAAAAAGUUUGGACACCCCUGCCCUAACCCUAACCCUAGCUCUUAACCCUACCUCUAAACCUAACCCUAGCUCUAACCCUAGGGUUAAAUAUUGUUGGUUUAUUGGUUGUUUUUCUUUAAAUCUUUUUUAUUAUUUUUUUUCCGCUUUUCUUUUCCUUUGCUUUUCUCUCACUCUAUGCAAUUGGACAAUAAUGUAUUGAUGAUCUCUAAGUGAUAGGAAGUAAAGGAUUGCUGCUUCCAACCGGUUGGGAACAAGGAUAACUCUUUUUCAUGGCUGGCACAUGACAAUGGACUGCUCUUCUUUUCUCUUUUUACUGAUCAUCUCUGCUGUAAAGGCUUUUAAGAGACUGCAUCUGGGAUUGUUUUUAAAGAUUGAGUACUCACAGAAGAUUCCUUCCUUUAUAAAAAGAACUAAAGUCAAGCUGCUUGAUUAGAGUCUCCAGCUGGUCUCCCUACAGGUCCUCGAAUGAGGCCUAGUGAAAGUGGUCAUAUGAGUUUGGAAAGAUUCUCAACAAGAAAAAGGUGCUAAACGCCUUCAUCUGGAGACAUGGCAAUCCACUGCAGGACCUCAGUCCUCUCAGGUUCAGGGUCGACCCCAGGGAUCCGGUCCAUUGGACGAGAGAGACGGCCGUACAGAUUUUUAACUUCUGGCUGGACCAGUUCAACUUUUAAACUCGGUGAAGUGCUUAGCACCUGUACGGAAAAAUAUCAAUUAUUUUAUUAAUCUGUCAAAAACAUUCCAUCUUACCGAGGCACAAGUACAGCUUUUAAUUAAAGGCCUUACUUUUGUUCCAGUGCCGGACAGAGGUGACCCUGGGGAGCUUAGAGUUAUCUUAAGGAUACUUCUAAUUUUACUGAAAAAAUAAAAGAUAAAAUUUUUCCAUCAA